GUGCUACCAAAUACUAACAUGGCCUAAGCAGCGGGCCAUGAAUUUAUGCUAACGAGGCAAGAUGGCGUCUCCGCGAAAAUCCCGUGGUUGACAGCAAACAUCAUCAUUCGUUUUCCUCUGUCGUUUUAUACGACACUGCCACCCACACAAGAAGUAGGGGAAGAUUUUUUGAUGUGGAGAGAAUUAUUACCCGGCGAAAAUGUGACUCGACCUUUUUUGAGGCCAACUCAAAUCAGCGACGAAAGGCUUAUAGAAGGAAGUCGGUGAUUUGCCGUUGGCAUGGUAACUGGUCUAAAAAGUUCCUCACACUCACCCUUUUAUAUGCGGAUCUGGAAUUAGACAUACGGCGCUUUGUUUCACAUGAUAAAGGAAUUCCUUCAGAACACUGAGGGCAUUUUUUAUUUCAAAGAAAUGACUUCACAAGGUUCAAAUACCUUCCCAAACGCUCGUGGUACUUUUUGAACGAACAUGGAGAGGGAUUUGCCAUGGACUAAUCCCGAUUAAGAUUAAGCCCGUGUUGUCAGGGUCUUCAGUUCAUCAUGUUAACAAAGAUGGGAUACUCUACAAGGCUCCUAGGUAUCCCUUGGAGAAGGUAUGUGUUGAAAUGGCAAAAAAGCCAUGCAACUUAGAGAAUGUUUUUAUGUACUUUAGUGUUUUUGUCUUAGACUGCCCUGCAUCAAAAGCAUAACAUGUGUGACUGUGUAAAAUAUUCCAUUUUGUAAUUUGUUAGUUUGUGAAAUGAAUGGAAACUCAUAGGUCUAACCUUUAAUCUAAUAGUUGAUGUUUGUUUAAUAAAUUGUCAAUUAAUCUCAGAGCACAUCUUU